rnacentral:rRNA from 1 species
AGAGUUUGAUCAUGGCUCAGAUUGAACGCUGGCGGAAUGCUUUACACAUGCAAGUCGAACGGGCUUAAGGGGCUUGCUCCUUAAGUUAGUGGCGAGCGGGUGAGUAAUAUAUCGGAACGUAUCCAAUAGUGGGGGAUAACGAGUCGAAAGAUUCGCUAAUACCGCAUACGCCCUGAGGGGGAAAGUGGGGGACCGCAAGGCCUCACGCUAAUGGAGCGGCCGAUAUCUGAUUAGCUAGUUGGUGAGGUAAAGGCUCACCAAGGCGACGAUCAGUAGCUGGUCUGAGAGGACGACCAGCCACACUGGAACUGAGACACGGUCCAGACUCCUACGGGAGGCAGCAGUGGGGAAUUUUGGACAAUGGGCGAAAGCCUGAUCCAGCCAUUCCGCGUGAGUGAAGAAGGCCUUCGGGUUGUAAAGCUCUUUCGCAAGGGAAGAAAGAUUACUUUUUAAUAAAGAGUGAUUAUGACGGUACCUUGAUAAGAAGCACCGGCUAACUACGUGCCAGCAGCCGCGGUAAUACGUAGGGUGCGAGCGUUAAUCGGAAUUACUGGGCGUAAAGCGAGCGCAGGCGGUUCUGCAAGUCAGAUGUGAAAUCCCCGGGCUCAACCUGGGAACUGCGUUUGAAACUACAGAGCUAGAGUAUAGGAGAGGGAGGUAGAAUUCCACGUGUAGCAGUGAAAUGCGUAGAGAUGUGGAG